AUGAAAUCUCUGCUGCUUUUCCUGUCCCUGUUCUCCGCUCCCAGCUGCAUCCUCUCCCAGGUGCAGCUGGUCCCAUCCGGCCCGGGGGCGGUGAAGCCCGGAGAGACCCUCGCACUGACCUGCGUUGUCUCGGGUGUUUCCAUCACUGAGAGCAGCUACGCCUGGGACUGGGUCCGGCAGCCCCCCAGGAAAGGGCUGGAGUGGGUAGCAAGUAUAUACCCACCAGACGGGGGAAAGUGGUUUGCCGCAUCUCUCCAAAGCCGGACCACCAUCUCUUCGGACACCUCCAAGAACCAGUUCUCCCUGCAGCUGGCCUCCCUCACAGCUGCAGACACCGCCAUGUAUUACUGUGUCAGGGAUACACGCACACAGCGACACAAGGCAAAGCGGGCCUGGUAAAAAAGGGGAAGUGGAUUGUCUAGAGUCACUCGGGGCCCUGUCACACUCACGUCUCCAUUAGAAGCAGGGUGAGACACUGGUCACAAGGGGGUUUAGGAGGUGGAAAUCGGGGAAGGAAAAUUCCUCGUCUCCUCACUCAGCUCCUGGUAACACGGACACACAGAGAUCCCAUCUCACAACUCCCCCAGGGGGGAUCAAUCAGACAAGCACCUGCAGGUCUCGUUCCCAUCACUGUGGGGGCAGCAAUCCCAGAGCCCUUCCAGUUACUACAGAAUCCAGCGCUGCAUUUCGCCUUGAGGAGCUGGGGAAUUCCCAGGCCGGACCAAGUCAAGGUCCAUUUAGCCCAAUAUCCUGUCUCUAGCCGGGAGACUAGCCGGGGCUGCUUCACAUAAGAACCCCGCAGCUGAGGAUGUGAGAGAAUCCACCCUCCACAUCAGGUCUCGCCCUGGUCUCCAACAGAGAUUGGGUUAAACUAGCGACACCCAGACUGUGGGGAUCCAGCCGCGAGUGGCUCCUUAAUGCAGGGGUCAGCAACCUUUCAGAAGCGGU